rnacentral:rRNA from 1 species
CGGACGGGUGAGUAACGCGUGGGCAACCUGGCCUGUACAGGGGGAUAACACUUAGAAAUAGGUGCUAAUACCGCAUAAGCGCACAGCUUCGCAUGAAGCGGUGUGAAAAACUCUGGUGGUAUACGAUGGUUCCGCGUCUGAUUAGCUAGUUGGUGGGGUAAUGGCCUACCAAGGCAACGAUCAGUAGCCGGCCUGAGAGGGUGAACGGCCACAUUGGGACUGAGACACGGCCCAAACUCCUACGGAAGGCAGCAG